rnacentral:rRNA from 1 species
GACGAACGCUGGCGGCGUGCCUAAUACAUGCAAGUAGAACGCUGAAGGAGGAGCUUGCUCUUCUGGAUGAGUUGCGAACGGGUGAGUAACGCGUAGGUAACCUGCCUGGUAGCGGGGGAUAACUAUUGGAAACGAUAGCUAAUACCGCAUAACAGUAGAUGUUGCAUGACAUUUACUUAAAGGGUGCAAUUGCAUCACUACCAGAUGGACCUGCGUUGUAUUAGCUAGUUGGUGGGGUAACGGCUCUCCAAGGCGACGAUACAUAGCCGACCUGAGAGGGUGAUCGGCCACACUGGGACUGAGACACGGCCCAGACUCCUACGGGAGGCAGCAGUAGGGAAUCUUCGGCAAUAGACGGAAGUCUGACCGAGCAACGCCGCGUGAGUGAAGAAGGUUUUCGGAUCGUAAAGCUCUGUUGUAAGAGAAGAACGAGUGUGAGAGUGGAAAGUUCACACUGUGACGGUAUCUUACCAGAAAGGGACGGCUAACUACGUG